rnacentral:rRNA from 1 species
UACAGAGGUCCCAAGCGUUGUUCGGAAUUACUGGGCGUAAAGGGAGCGUAGGCGGGUUCUUAAGUUAGGUGUUUAAUCCCGGGGCCCAACCCCGGACCGGCACUUAAAACUGGGAAUCUUGAAUAGUGGAGAGGUCAGUGGAAUUGGGGGUGUAGCGGUGGAAUGCGUAGAGAUCCCCAAGAACACCAGUUGCGAAGGCGGCUGACUGGACACAUAUUGACGCUGAGGCUCGAAAGCAUGGGGAGCAAACAGG